rnacentral:lncRNA from 1 species
AUUCUUUUGAGCUGUUUUUAUAGCUUUCAGUGACUGAGUAAAAUAUUCUUUUUUGAGAAAAAUUUGAAUUUGGCAGCUUGAAACUUCUGCCUGGAAAAGUCUCACAGGCAUAGAACUCCAACCUGUAAGAGUAGCCAUGUGGGCUGUGCCCAGCAAAGCCAUGGAGACAGGGCUGCCCAAAUGCUUGAGAGCUGGCCCUUUGCAUCAAUGUGCCCAGGAUGCAGGACACAAAGUGUUGACAGUCCCACCAAUAGUGUAAAAGUGUUCCUAUUUCUCCACAUCCUCUCCAGCACCUGUUGUUUCCUGACUUUUUAAUGAUUGCCAUUCUAACUGGUGUGAGAUGGUGUCUCACUGUGGUUUUGAUUUGCAUUUCUCUGAUGGCCAGUGAUGAUGAGCAUUUUUUCAUGUGUUUUUUGGCUGCAUAAAUGUCUUCUUUUGAGAAAUGUCUGUUCAUGUCCUUUGCCCACUUUUUGAUGGGGUUGUUUGUUUUUUUUCUUGUAAAUUUGUUUGAGUUCAUUGUAGAUUCUGGAUAUUAGCCCUUUAUCAGAUGAGUAGGUUGCGAAAAUUUUCUCCCAUUUUGUAGGUUGCCUGUUCACUCUGAUGGUAGUUUCUUUUGCUGUGCAGAAGCUCUUUAGUUGAAUUAGAUCCCAUUUGUCAAUUUUGUCUUUUGUUGCCAUUGCUUUUGGUGUUUUAGACAUGAAGUCCUUGCCCAUGCCUAUGUCCUGAAUGGUAUUGCCUAGGUUUUCUUCUAGGGUUUUUAUGGUUUUAGGUCUAACGUUUAAGUCUUUAAUCCAUCUUGAAUUGAUAUAUGCAAAUCAAUAAAUGUAAUCCAGUAUAUAAACAGAGCCAAAGACAAAAACCACAUGAUUAUCUCAAUAGAUGCAGAAAAGGCCUUUGACAAAAUUCAACAACCCUUCAUGCUAAAAACUCUCAAUAAAUUAGGUAUUGAUGGGACAUAUUUCAAAAUAAUAAGAGCUAUCUAUGACAAACCCACAGCCAAUAUCAUACUGAAUGGGCAAAAACUGGAAGCAUUCCCUUUGAAAACUGGCACAAGACAGGGAUGCCCUCUCUCACCACUCCUAUUCAACAUAGUGUUGGAAGUUCUGGCCAGGGCAAUUAGGCAGGAGAAAGAAAUAAAGCGUAGUCAAUUAAGAAAAGAGGAAGUCAAAUUGUCCCUGUUUGCAGACGACAUGAUUGUAUAUCUAGAAAACCCCAUUGUCUCAGCCCAAAAUCUCCUUAAGCUGAUAAGCAACUUCAGCAAAGUCUCAGGAUACAAAAUCAAUGUACAAAUAUCACAAGCAUUCUUAUACACCAAUAACAGACAGAGAGCCAAAUCAUGAGUGAAUUCCCAUUCACAAUUGCUUCAAAGAGAAUAAAAUACCUAGGAAUCCAACUUACAAGGGAUGUGAAGGACCUUUUCAAGGAGAACUACAAACCACUGCUCAAGGAAAUAAAAGAGGAUACAAAGAAAUGGAAGAACAUUCCAUGCUCAUGGGUAGGAAGAAUCAAUAUCGUGAAAAUGGCCAUACUGC